AAUAUCAUAUGAAAUAUGAAAGAGUUUACAAGUAGGUAAAGAAAAACAUCAUUCAUUAGCAAGCUUGUCUUCAUGUAGAAUAUGAAAUUCAUGUUAUUCAGCGCCAAGAUGUGGUUGGAUGAAUGAACCCUUAACAGUAAUUGUACCUAGCAGAAGAUAAAAAGGGCUGCAGCUAAUCUGAAGGAAAAAAGGGAAAAACAGAGAUCCACAAUAGUGACACGCAUGAUUACACCAAAGUCAGUUAUCCCAGCCUGUGCAGAUUUCUUCAAAGCUGAGAGUACACACAGGAAGAGAUGAUUUCAUGGAGGCCCAUGGCGGCGGCAGUGAGGUUCAACAGGACAGAUUUCCUGAGUGAGGCAAGACGUGGAGUCAGCUACUCCAGGGCUGCUUGUGCUGCCUCCUCCGCUGUGCGAGGUGCCCUCAUGGCACAGGUGAGGCUGAGCCUCUCCUCCUGACUGUUGACCGUUGGUUGCCACGUGGCUGGCAGCGCCAGGCGCCCAGCCCAGUCUAGGGGGUGGAGGGGCGGGGCCUCAGCGCCCAAUCUCAGUGGCGGCAGUGAGGAGAUUUGUGUCAGGAGGCGGUGCCUUCUCAAACGUCCUCUGUUCUCUCCUGCCAUCCUCCUGGUGUCUACCUGAGCUGUAGAAAAUGUAAAAUCUCUGGAGAACAUCUCCGUAUGGAUAUAUGGCUCGAUCCAUCACCAUACAAGUACUGCUCCUUCUCAAUCAGACAAUUAGAAACUCCGGCCGCUGAGUCAUGCCAGCAAAACUUUUCUCUCUGAAUUUUCUUAGCCCCUUCUUUAUUAUAUUCUAGAUCUAGGGUAUUAUCACAAACCUUUUGGGUUUCAUUUUUGCCAUGUGUCUGAUCUAAGAGAUACGCUGGAACUUGUGUUUCCUUGAUUAUGGACCUUGUGCUUGUGAAGCAAGCAGCAGAAUCACUGAGUUGAAUCUUUUAACUUAUCCUUGAGGUAGGGAACUAAUGUGUACUCCUCCUUCAGAACCAGUUUUCAGUCCAAGUCUGAAAUGGUCAGAUUUUUCGCGAUUCCCAAAUAUUCGACCACAAUCUCCUUCUCAUCAUCAGAGACCUGGGCUGCAAGGCCCCCAGCAUGAACUUUCAGUUGGUCCAUCAUGCUGGGAAGUGUUUCUAAUCAUUUUCACCAGCAAUGGCGCCUUGAACUGCAGAGCCCUUUUUAUGAAUAUCUUCAGCCCAUUUUCUUCUUAGAUCAGCUGACCAUUCCUCUUAUUGGCAGCAAGAUUAAUGCAGAAAGACAAGUUUCAGGUGACUUCAUGGGAACAUUCAAAGACUGUCUUCAUUACUUGUGGUAUAGAGUCAGUGUGUGCAGACAAAGUGAUCAGCCAUGCUUAUAUGAUGUUGUUUUCAUUGCGUAGGAGUCAGCGAGUUUGGGAAGGAGUCCAGCUUGCACCAUCUUAUUCCUCAGUCCUUGAAGGACUGAGCAGUUGGAGACUAUUACUGUGGGCAGAGCCUCAGCCUUGGCAGUUGGGGACAGUUACUGUGGGAGAAGCCUCUGCCUCACUUUGAUGGCCACAGUCUCUCUGGAAGGGAAAAAUAUUUUUACAAAUCCAUCUACAUUGCAGAAAAUGCAGGUGAUAAAAAGGGAAAUGGAAAACCGUCACUGUUUGGGCAUCUUGCUCUCUCUCCUUCCACCCUGGGGAAAUUGGCCUUGGGAGUAUAAAGAUUUUAUUUAUUAAAGGAACUUAAAUUUUCUAGUAUAUGUGUUGAGUCUGCCUUUUAAAACAGACUAAAGGGCUCAAGUGACUCACCCGUAGUAAUUUUGUAAUUCAAAGUAAUAUGGGGGUAUUUGUUGACGCUCUAAUCAACAAAUAUUCGAGUAAAACUUUUAAAGAUGGAUUUAUUAGCUGUAUAGGUUCAACAAACGAAAUAUAAAAAUCACACAAAUGGUGGUCGAGUGCAGCUUUUCCUACACAAAAACCUUUGGGCUUAAAUGCAUAAACACAAGGAGGAGUGAGAAGAAAAAGGAGGGAGGACCAGAAAAAGUGCUGCCUGAGCAACAGAGAAGUUGCCGGAAGCCCUCAGAUGGGCCAGCUUCCUCAGGACGUCCGCGGGAUGUGUGGGUGGGGUGGCAGGAUGGCUCCUGUUCAGCCAGGGCCCCCCAAGACGAGGGGCCAGGCUGCUGUCUCCCUUCCCAGAGGACACCUGCCCCACUGCCAUGGUGCGUGCGGGCCUGCGACCUUGCAACUAACUCAGCCACGCAGGAGCGGGUCAGAGGCUGGGAACGACGUCCUGAGUGAAGGCUGGAAUUCAUUUCAGGCCUCCCAGUGCACCUGCCGCGGUGACCAGAGGCUCUGUGUCAGGACAGAGCCUGGGUCCUCCACCGGCCUCCCCAAGUCCCCUCGAGAGGCGUUAGGGGAGAGGGUAGGAGCUGCCUCUGCCUGAGACCCUGACACCCCAGGGGGAACCCCGUGCGGGGCCCUGGAGACGUUGGCCUCCUGCGCCUGCGCUCCUUGACCAGAGCGCGAGAUCGUAGGUUGCAGGCUGGGGUGGACCCGUAGGGGAGCUUUAUAGGGCUGCGGCUCCGAAGUCUGCACGGCUGCGGGAAUUGAACUGUAGCAGAGCCAUAUAUUACUGGGUUGAUAGUGCCUUGAGGAGAGCAGGCUUGGUCUCUAGGAUGAGGUUAGGUCGGGACUGUUCCAGCCCUGUUCAAUUAUGUGAUUUAGGUGGCCUUACAGGGAACUCUGGAAAAUUUCAAACUCUGCAUAGGAAGGGGGCAUGCAGCAGAUAAGAAAUGGGGUAGGAUCUAUAGCAAAACCCUGUUGAUCUUUGGUGAUACGAUCACGUAUUUUUCCUGUUCUCCCUUCUAGACAGGAGCAAAAGUAUCCAAAUGACUUUUAAAAUUGCUUUGAUGUCAUAGUAAAGUGUAUUGUGAGCUUCAAGGGAUUAAACAAAAUAAUAUUGACCUCAGUAAUUUCCCUCCCUAAUGGGAGAUUUCGUUUUGGUCUCUGAUUGGUGCUGGUUGUAGGUUAAAUUGGGUGUCUGGACUGCCCAAAGCUCUGUAGUUUGUCAGUGAGGCAAAUAUUUGUGGUGGUCCCAAGCUGGGAUCCUAAACACGAGGUUGAACCUGGGAGUGGACUCACCAGAGUAGCCAGCACUCUCAGAUGGAAGAGGAUGUGUUCUCCCUGGAGCGUGAGCUGGGUGCAAGGAAAAGUCUGAAGGACAUCUUCCCAUGAAUUCUGACUCUUCCCCAUAUUCUCUUAUCAAUACCUCUAACUGCCCUGGUUCUUGUUUAUAGAACAGACUGUUCCAGACCAAAAGGCCCUCAGUUCCAGUAGAAUAGGGAGCCUUAUGCAAACAAGAAACAGACCACCUCCAUGGACUAAGAUGGAUGACCCGACCCUAGAACAGUUUCCAGCUUCCUGGUUUUCUGCUAGCCCCUAUACACCCCUUACUCUGUAAGAGAACUGCUUCAGAACCAGUAACCCCUCUCAGGUCUUUAUCUCAGUAAAGCCUGUCCUUGCUGCAAGACUCUCUCCUUUUUAUUUCUUACACUGGGAAAGUGAGGUAAUUUCCUGUAAAGAGGAGCAGGGAAUGGUAAGAAGGAUACCUGUAGGAUCCUGAGGGCCUUGAAUAUGAAUGACAGUGGACUUUGAACAGUAACGAGGCACAAACUAAUAAACAACCAGAGAUCAGUCUCCACUGAAGCUUUCCUCCGGCUUGGAUAAGGCGCUCCACAGUUAGGUUCCUGGACAAGACAGCUCCUGCGACAGCUUUGCUCACACCUGAGCAGCCAAUGCGGGGUGACCGGCGGUGGGGGCCCAGGGCUGCCGGGAGGCGGGACCCAGCCCGGGUAUAAGAGCAGCGCCGCUGUCCCGGCCGCAGUGCUGAAGCCGGCGCCCCAGCUGCUACCCGGAGGUCCCGGCUCUGAGCUCGAAACAGGGCCGGAGAGCUCGAAGAGGAGGGCAAGGAGCUCGUCCCCCGGCCUCGGCCAGCCCGGCCUUCGAGGAUGCGGCUGCUCGGGAAGCUGCGCUCCUCGGGUCCGGAGCCCGC